CUAGGGAGUGGAAAGUUUAGACAGAGGUGGAAAGAAUCAACCAGCUCUCCAUGGCCAAUGCAAGCAACAGCAAGAACCCGGCGCCAAGACAAUGGCCCAGGCACUGGGGAGCGGGAGAGUGGGUGAUCCGAAGGUCGUCUUCUCCUCUGGUGGGGAGGAGUUGUUGCUUGGAGCUGCGCAGCUUGGGCCAAGCAUUUGCGUCUGGGAGUGCAUCUGUGAUUAGUUCUCAUCAACCCAAUGUGAGCAGAAGAGAUGUGUCUACUUCUAGGCCUGGCUCAUCAAAAAACCUCCCACGGACAAACCUUCGCGUUCUUUCCCUUGACGGAGAAGAGCACAGAGAGCUUGGAAGCCACGUGUUGAAGAUGGUGGAGCCACAAGACGGAAGGAUGCUGGGCUCCCCUAAUUGUGCUUGGCGGAACCCUCCGUCACUCAUUAGGGGUGCCAUGCUAGACUUGCUGUGAAUGAGAAAUAAACUUCUAUUGUAUUGGAGC
rnacentral:lncRNA from 1 species